rnacentral:rRNA from 1 species
GACGAACGCUGGCGGCGUGCUUAACACAUGCAAGUCGAACGGAAAGGCCCUGCUUUUGUGGGGUGCUCGUGUGGCGAACGGGUGAGUAACACGUGAGUAACCUGCCCCUGACUUUGUGAUAACUUCAGGAAACUGGGGCUAAUACCGGAUAGGAGCUCCUGCUGCAUGGUGGUGGUUGGAAAGUUUCGGCGGUUGGGGAUGGACUCGCAGCUUAUCCGCUUGUUGGUGGAGUAGUGGAUUACCAAGGCUUUGACGGCUAGCCGGCCUGAGAGGGUGACCGGCCACAUUGGGACUGAGAUACGGCGCAGACUCCUACGGGAGGCAGCGGUGGGGAAUAUUGCACAAUGGGCGGAAGCCUGAUACAGCAGCGCCGCGUGCGGGAUGACGGCCUUCGGGUUGUAAACCGCUUUCGCCUGUGACGAAGCGUGAGUGACGGUAAUGGGUAAAGAAGCACCGGCUAACUACGUG